AUAUCAAUAAGCGGAGGAAAAGAAACCAACAGGGAUUGCCCCCAGUAACGGCGAGUGAAGCGGCAACAGCUCAAAUUUGAAAUCUGGCUCUCGGGCCCGAGUUGUAAUUUGUAGAGGAUGCUUUUGGUGAGGUGCCUUCCGAGUUCCCUGGAACGGGACGCCAUAGAGGGUGAGAGCCCCGUCUGGUUGGACACCGAUCCUCUGUAAAGCUCCUUCGACGAGUCGAGUAGUUUGGGAAUGCUGCUCUAAAUGGGAGGUAUAUGUCUUCUAAAGCUAAAUACCGGCCAGAGACCGAUAGCGCACAAGUAGAGUGAUCGAAAGAUGAAAAGAACUUUGAAAAGAGAGUUAAAAAGUACGUGAAAUUGUUGAAAGGGAAGCGCUUGUGACCAGACUUGGGCUUGGUUGAUCAUCCGGGGUUCUCCCCGGUGCACUCUUCCGGCUCAGGCCAGCAUCAGUUCGCCCUGGGGGAUAAAGGCUUCGGGAAUGUGGCUCUCUCCGGGGAGUGUUAUAGCCCGCUGCGUAAUACCCUGUGGCGGACUGAGGUUCGCGCAUUCGCAAGGAUGCUGGCGUAAUGGUCAUCAGUGACCCGUCUUGAAACACGGACCAAGGAGUCGUCUUCGUAUGCGAGUGUUCGGGUGUCAAACCCCUACGCGAAAUGAAAGUGAACGCAGGUGAGAGCUUCGGCGCAUCAUCGACCGAUCCUGAUGUUAUCGGAUGGAUUUGAGUAAGAGCAUACGGGGCCGGACCCGAAAGAAGGUGAACUAUGCCUGUGUAGGGUGAAGCCAGAGGAAACUCUGGUGGAGGCUCGCAGCGGUUCUGACUNAAA
rnacentral:rRNA from 1 species